AGCGAGAUCCCUUCCAUGGCAUCCUUGCCAAAAAUGAAUACCCUGAAUUAAUCAUGAGAAAACAUCAGACAAAACAAAUUGAGGGACUCACUGAAAGUUUCAAGGUCAUGAAAGACAAAAAAAGAUUGAGGAACAGUUCCAGAUUACAUGAGGCUAAGAAGACAUGGCAACUAAAUGAAUCCUGUACAAGAAAAAGAACAUUAGUGGGACAACUGGUAAAAUUUGAAUAAGAUAUGAAUGAGAGAACAUGUAGCCUAUUUUCGACUACUGGACAACUUACCUACAAGAUGAAGCCAACAAUGUUGUUAGCACAGAAAGACAAAAUAAAACCUGGAUCCUUGAUCAUAUUACUAAACUGCUGGAUCAAUGAAUUCUGAUACACGCUGCCAAGCAUGUGGGCCAAUAAAUGUACUCAUUGUUGAAGCCAGUUUGAUUUAGAUUGUCUGUUAUUUACG
rnacentral:lncRNA from 1 species